UUGCACCUUACAUAGAAGUCAACAGACUCAACACCAAGGAUUAAGAUCCUUUUGAUUCUUUUCUUCUUUUUUUUUACCGGGAAAUGAUAGGUUGUUAAGGUAUAUAGAUAGUUUUACAUUUCUCUCAUGAUUUGUGGCGAAAAGCAUUUAUCCAAAGUUGGCCAAAUGAUAAUGUAUAUAUUACUUACUAUAUAGGAAAGGAAUGAGUUACACUCUUCUUGCAAAUAUGUGUUACAACGUCACUUUAUAAUACCUUCGGGCAUUAGUGAGUUUUGGUCAUGAGUUUUGAUACCCCAAUUUAUUUACAUUCGGGCAUAUGCGAUGUUCGGCUGGUAAAAAGUAAAAAGAAGAAAAGAGUAUUGUUGGAGAUGGGUUUCACCCUAUUCUAGACUCGGUCUGAGAUCCCAAUCCAAGCAUAAUAAAAUUCAUAUCAAGUAUAGUUGAGGCCUAAGAAGGAACAAUAUAGGUCUACGAAGGUUAAAGUCCACCUCUGACUGAAAAAGUUUCACAUGCCGAGCUCGAUGAGUCAAAAUAUAGGUCUACGAAGGUAUUGAUUCGAUUUUUUUGAGCUAUAAUUUACUCUUCUUCUCCGAGUUUCCUUUUCUGUUAAGUAUUCACAGUUUGACAAAUCUUCCUACAUUUAAUGUUUCUCUUUAUUACCUCCAAUCAAUUUUUUUUUACGGUCAAUUUCUCUUAUUACUUAUUAGCCUAGUUCUUCUCGUGAUUGCUCUGGAGAAUUCAUGUGUUUUGGAGUUUGAUGAUGAUGACGAAACUCUCUGAAACUGUGUUUGUUUGUUCGUUUUUUUUUUUGCAGUGAUUUUGAGGUUUAAUUGGAGAGACUAGAGUGCAAUCAUCCGUGUUGAGAUGGGGAAUGGUGAAGAAACAAAAUGUGUUUUCCCCUUUAACCUUUUGAUUCUUUUCUUCUUUUUUUUUACCGGGAAAUGAUAGGUUGUUAAGGUAUAUAGAUAGUUUUACAUUUCUCUCAUGAUUUGUGGCGAAAAGCAUUUAUCCAAAGUUGGCCAAAUGAUAAUGUAUAUAUUACUUACUAUAUAGGAAAGGAAUGAGUUACACUCUUCUUGCAAAUAUGUGUUACAACGUCACUUUAUAAUACCUUCGGGCAUUAGUGAGUUUUGGUCAUGAGUUUUGAUACCCCAAUUUAUUUACAUUCGGGCAUAUGCGAUGUUCGGCUGGUAAAAAGUAAAAAGAAGAAAAGAGUAUUGUUGGAGAUGGGUUUCACCCUAUUCUAGACUCGGUCUGAGAUCCCAAUCCAAGCAUAAUAAAAUUCAUAUCAAGUAUAGUUGAGGCCUAAGAAGGAACAAUAUAGGUCUACGAAGGUUAAAGUCCACCUCUGACUGAAAAAGUUUCACAUGCCGAGCUCGAUGAGUCAAAAUAUAGGUCUACGAAGGUAUUGAUUCGAUUUUUUUGAGCUAUAAUUUACUCUUCUUCUCCGAGUUUCCUUUUCUGUUAAGUAUUCACAGUUUGACAAAUCUUCCUACAUUUAAUGUUUCUCUUUAUUACCUCCAAUCAAUUUUUUCUUACGGUCAAUUUCUCUUAUUACUUAUUAGCCUAGUUCUUCUCGUGAUUGCUCUGGAGAAUUCAUGUGUUUUGGAGUUUGAUGAUGAUGACGAAACUCUCUGAAACUGUGUUUGUUUGUUCGUUUUUUUUUUUGCAGUGAUUUUGAGGUUUAAUUGGAGAGACUAGAGUGCAAUCAUCCGUGUUGAGAUGGGGAAUGGUGAAGAAACAAAAUGUGUUUUCCCCUUGACGAGUCUCCAGAUCGGGUAAGUUCUCUUCGCUCUGUUGAUCAGCUUAUGGGACUAUUUUAGUUUCCUUGUUCUGUCUUUUGCUUUUUAAUUACAAUAUAAUAAAGUCUUGUUUCACCUAUUGUUUAACCUUGUCCUUCCUGACAAAACAAGUUCUUUUUUUUUUUGGUCUUGAUAAUUUGUAUGAAAGAUCUGCAUUGUAAACAGUGAUAGUCCAAGGUUUGGUACUUUCAGAUAUCAAUCAAUGGUUCUCUGCAGUUCAUGUAUAUAUAUGAACAUGGACUUAUAUGACCUGUUUAUAAGGACAAUCUAGUUUCCGGUUCUGUUUUUUUUUUUUUUUUUUUUGUACCUUUAUAUUAGCAUUGUUUCGGGUCUUAUUUUGAAUUGAAUGCUUGUGGAAUUCUGAUGCCUGGGUUUUAUAUUCCUUUCUUGAUUCUGAUGUUUUAUCAAUUCUUGGUGUUAAUAUUAAAAACAUCUCCCUGUGAAGUGAAUUAUAGUUUGAACCAGCACCUUUGUUCUAGCAAUUCUCUUGUCUAGUUUCAUGAUAUUCUCUUCUCUGUGGAAAGGCAACAGGGUUGCGUGUGUGUUUGUUCUGAAUCUCAAUGUGUGUUGCCUUCUUUUUCUUGUAAAAGUUCUUAAUCUGGUAACAGUUACGUGUCUGUUACAUAGGUUGUCACAUUUUAUUUGCCUGAUGUUCUCUGCUUAUCUGGCUUUUUCUUUGGUUUCAGAGACUUGCAGUCAUAUCUUUCUGAUCUCAGUAUUUUCAUGGGCAAUAAAAGCAAGAAGAUUUACAUAUUGGUAGACAACCGGCCAUGGUUGAAUCCCGGCACCCGAUCUGCUCACUUCUGGCAACUAAUGGUUACAAAGGUUGUCAAAAACUGCUUCCUAAGUACCUUUUCUUAUUGUCGCUUCAGAUGAAAAACCUGAUGAACUGACUGACCCCUCUCUUUGUUUGCAGUCCAGACUCUCCCCUUUUGCAAACACGAAAGGUCGAGAAGGGAAGAAAAAGCAGAAGUUUUUUUUUAUUAUAUAAUAGAAUAUAUAUAAAAAUUCAUUAAGGAUAACAUAAACUUUAGCCACUCUGUUUUUUAACGUGAGAGCUCCGUUGCUAUAAAAUUAUUUCGAAAAUAAUAGUAUAGAUUGAAAUUAGCGUUGACUUCUAAAGACUAGGCAUAAAUUUCAAAUUUUUGAUUAGUUAAGGUAUGUUUUGGCAUGCAAUAAGAGUUGGGGUAUGUAUUUUUUUAUCGACCCAUAGUUCAGGCACGAAUUUUAAAUUUUUGAUUAGUGUAGGUAUGUUUCGACUUGCAGUAAAAGUUGAGGUAUGUAUUCUCUCAGCAACCCCUAGUUCGGGCAUGAAUAAGCCGUUUUCCCCAAAUAUGUGUUACAACGUCACUUUAUAAUACCUUCGGGCAUU
rnacentral:lncRNA from 1 species